rnacentral:ncRNA from 2 species
AACGUGCUCCGGGGUCGGUGUAAUUCCGAACCGGCGGUUAUAGUCCGCGACCCGCGCGCAGCCCCCUGGGGCAGCAAACGGUUGAGCCGGUGAAAUUCCGGCACCGACAGUUAAAGUCUGGAUGGGAGAAGCACGUG